ensembl:ncRNA ZK836.8 ncRNA
UGGAAAGGAUCUUUGAAGGUUUAUGACUAGCCUAAUAAUACAAAAUUAUUGGCAAUAAGGAGCGGCUACUACUGCUGUCCACAUUCGUUGUUUCCGCAUAGCUCCGCCUUCCAAAAUUUUAAUUCAAAAGUGCAAAUCAUCAUCGGAUGUACAUAGUACGGAGACAAAUUGUUUACAUUUGGCACGGCGGUCGAGAAGAAAAUGAGGUCGCCCCCUUCACU